rnacentral:rRNA from 1 species
GAGGGAAAGUUGAAAAGUACUUUGAAGAGAGAGUUCAAAAGGGCGUGAAACCGCUUAGAAUAAAACGGACGGAGCCGUCAGUGGCCCGCCGGAAUCAGUCGAUACGACGCGUCUCUAUCGAUUCUGUGUCAGAGCGAAUCUUCUUGUCUGACCGGGGUCGGUACGUAUAGGCGAGGCGUUCGUUCGAUGCAUUUCCGGCGGGUAAGCGCCGCGACCGAUGCGAACGGCUGGUGAAUCCGGCGAAUCGAGGUCGACAAGAACGCGUCCGUUCGCGGUCGCGUUCGCGUCGAGACCAAUUCGUCGGGCUGAAGUCGCCAGACUGUGAGGCAUCGAGCGCAAUAUAUAGAAACGUCGGCGAAAACGAACGCUCGUUUCGUCGGUGGAAAGUCGACGCGCGGAUCGCCGCCUGCUCGUCAGGCGCGUUCGAUACGUUAGCGUAGGCGUUAGAAACCGCGAACGACGGUCACGACGUUUCGGCGUCAGCGGCGUCCGAGACGGUCAACCGUCCGACCCGUCUUGAAACACGGACCAAGGAGUCUAACGUAUGCGCGAGCUAAUGGGCGUUAAAACCCCAUAAGCGCAAUGAAAGUGAAAACCGUCUUGGUACGGUGCGUGGGUACGAUCCUACGGUAUCCCUCACGGGAUUACGGUGGGCGCAGUACCGUCCCGUCCCGAUCGCUUCGUCGAUAGGGCGGAGACUGAGUGUAUACGUUGGGACCCGAAAGAUGGUGAACUAUGCCUGAGCAGAGCGAAGCCAGA